rnacentral:misc_RNA from 1 species
AAGUCGUAACAAGGUCUCCGUUGGUGAACCAGCGGAGGGAUCAUUACCGAUUGCAAAAUCUCUAAACCAUCGCGAACGUUACCCCACGCCGUUGCCUCGGCGGGGAGCCUCUCCGGGGGCCGCCCGCCGGUGGUACCACAAACUCUUUUUAUUUACAGGCCUCUCUGAGUAUUUAUAAAAAUAAGUUAAAACUUUCAACAACGGAUCUCUUGGUUCUG